rnacentral:rRNA from 1 species
UCGUGAGAUGUUGGGUUAAGUCCCCCAACGAGCGCAACCCCUGUCUCAUGUUGCCAGCACGUUAUGGUGGGGACUCGUGAGAGACUGCCGGGGUCAACUCGGAGGAAGGUGGGGAUGACGUCAAAUCAUCAUGCCCCUUAUGUCUAGGGCUUCACACAUGCUACAAUGGCUAGUACAGAGGGCUGCGAGACCGCGAGGUGGAGCGAAUCCCUUAAAGCUAGUCUCAUUUCGGAUUGGGGUCUGCAACUCGACCCCAUGAAGUCGGAGUCGCUAGUAAUCGCAGAUCAUCAUUGCUG